GUUAGCGAGUUAGCGUCUUUUACGGUCUUUGGUUAGCGUGCAGAAAAAGUAAACUAUGGAUGGUGUUACACGCCGACACGGCUCCGGGACAUAUUGUGCUGUUCACGGUUGCAACAACUCGUGCCGAUUGCUGAAUGUUUGGUCGGAAGGAGAAUGUUUCGACCAUCAACCAUCUACAAGAUUGUCAAAUUGAUACAGCCAAGCGGUGUGAUGGCAUCUGCAUCUGGGACAAGACCGCGCGGCUGUGACGGGGAGGGGGCAUCCAUACAGUCGACUCCGCCCUCCAGAUGCAGCCACAACCAUCACCUGCAGGAACGCACCGCCAACACCAUGUGGCAGGCGGUUGCUGGUCAGCUAGCGUGUCAAUCCC
ensembl:lncRNA